CCUACGGGCGGCAGCAGUGGGGAAUAUUGGACAAUGGGGGGAACCCUGAUCCAGCCAUGCCGCGUGUGUGAAGAAGGCCCUCGGGUUGUAAAGCACUUUCAGUGAGGAAGAACGCCUGGUGGUUAAUACCCAUCAGGAAAGACAUCACUCACAGAAGAAGCACCGGCUAACUCCGUGCCAGCAGCCGCGGUAAUACGGAGGGUGCGAGCGUUAAUUGGAAUUACUGGGCGUAAAGCGCGCGUAGGUGGUUUGAUAAGCCGGUUGUGAAAGCCCCGGGCUCAACCUGGGAACGGCAUCCGGAACUGUCAAGCUAGAGUGCAGGAGAGGAAGGUAGAAUUCCCGGUGUAGCGGUGAAAUGCGUAGAGAUCGGGAGGAAUACCAGUGGCGAAGGCGGCCUUCUGGACUGACACUGACACUGAGGUGCGAAAGCGUGGGUAGCAAACAGGAUUAGAUACCCUGGUAGUC
rnacentral:rRNA from 1 species